CCUACGGGAGGCAGCAGUGAGGAAUAUUGGUCAAUGGGCGCAAGCCUGAACCAGCCAAGUCGCGUGAGGGAUGACGGUCCUAUGGAUUGUAAACCUCUUUUGUCGGGGAGCAAGGCCCGCCACGUGUGGCGGGAAGGAGAGUACCCGAAGAAAAAGCAUCGGCUAACUCCGUGCCAGCAGCCGCGGUAAUACGGAGGAUGCGAGCGUUAUCCGGAUUUAUUGGGUUUAAGGGGUGCGUAGGCGGAAGGUUAAGUCAGCGGUAAAAUUGAGAGGCUCAACCUCUUCGAGCCGUUGAAACUGGUUUGCUUGAGUGAGUGAGAAGUAUGCGGAAUGCGUGGUGUAGCGGUGAAAUGCAUAGAUAUCACGCAGAACCCCGAUUGCGAAGGCAGCCUGCCGGGGUGCGACUGACGCUGAGGCUCGAAGGUGCGGGUAUCAAACAGGAUUAGAUACCCCAGUAGUC
rnacentral:rRNA from 1 species